GCUGCUUUGAUCUUGUGUGUGCAUUAGACGACUGCCAGGGGCAUGAAGGGGAUGUGCUUCCAGGGCAUUUGCUGGCAGGGCGUCUGGUGAUUUCUUGGUAUUGGUGUGAGCAUAGCCUGGCAGGAGAGGGCAGAUCUCCGUGCAAAGUAUGUCAGAAAGCAGAUGGAAGCCAGGCCCCCUCCUGAAAGAGGCUCCUUGAAGAUAAUUCUAACAUCUUUGUCAUCAGUGUUGACAUCUCUUGAUUGUAUCCUGUCAUUCCAUUUGAGAUCUUCCUGGUUCUGGCUGGCAUCCUCUGACAUCACUCCAGCAGAAGAAAGGGAAGGAACACGCUGCAUUACUGCGUGGUCACAAGGUCCCCGUCUGAUCUGCCUUCACUCCACCUUUCAGAGUCUUAUGUUUGUUUUGUGUAUAUUAUCAAGGGGUUUUAGGUCACUUAGUCGGAAGAAUAGGGAAAAGUAUGUCUACUCCAGCUUUAUGGAAGUGGAAUUCUCCUGAGAACCUUUUUUUGAUACAAAAUAUAUACUUGUGCAUAUUUUGUAUCAAAAUAUAUAAUGUACAUGUCCCUUUUGUACAUGUACAUAAAUUGUAUAUAAGUAUUCAGGGUUAUAAAAAUAACCAAAGACACCAAAAA
rnacentral:antisense_RNA from 1 species